AGCAGCCGCGGUAAUUCCAGCUCCAAUAGCGUAUAUUAAAGUUGUUGCAGUUAAAAAGCUCGUAGUUGAAUUUCGAAAUUUUUUUAUCGGUUGAAUCAACAGGUUCGUACUGAUUUUAAGAAUUUCUACCUUCUGGAGAACCUUAAUGUCAUUUAUUUGAUGUUUUGGGAAACCAGGACUGUUACCUUGAAAAAAUUAGAGUGUUUAAAGCAGGCUUAUGUCUGAAUAUAUUAGCAUGGAAUAAUGAAAUAGGACGGCAUGGUUCUAUUUUGUUGGUUUCUAGGAUCACCGUAAUGAUUAAUAGGGAUAGUUGGGGGCAUUAGUAUUCAAUUGUCAGAGGUGAAAUUCUUGGAUUUAUUGAAGACUAACUUCUGCGAAAGCAUUUGCCAAGGAUGUUUUCAUUAAUCAAGAACGAAAGUUAGGGGAUCGAAGACGAUCAGAUACCGUCGUAGUUUUAACCAUAAACUAUGCCGACUAGGAAUCGGACGAAGUUAAUUUUUAAUGACUCGUUCGGCGCCUU
rnacentral:rRNA from 1 species